rnacentral:rRNA from 1 species
UACAGAGGUCUCAAGCGUUGUUCGGAUUUACUGGGCGUAAAGGGCGCGUAGGCGGCCAGCACAAGUCAGUUGUGAAAUCUCCGAGCUUAACUCGGAAAGGUCAACUGAUACUGUGCGACUAGAGUGCAGAAGGGGCAACUGGAAUUCUCGGUGUAGCGGUGAAAUGCGUAGAUAUCGAGAGGAACACCUGCGGCGAAGGCGGGUUGCUGGGCUGACACUGACGCUGAUGCGCGAAAGCCAGGGGAGCGAACGGG